GGAUGUGAGGGUACUCGGGCCGCGACACCGGCCACCCUGGUGAUCACCAGGGUCGACCCGGCACAUGGGGCUACCGAGGCAGGCGUCUGCUUCCUCCCUUUCCGCGCCACAUGUGCCCCUGCCAAAGCUGCGCUGGUCGAACAGGACCCCCCCAUUCCCGCAGAAGAGGGCCCGGGCCCCAGGCACGCGCGUGCCCGCGCUCAGGGGCCGCCAGACCAGCUCCACACAUCACAUGCGCGAGGACGCCAGGCAGUCAGGCCCAGGACUCCAGACAUGCCCAGACGAGGCGCUGCUGGGCCGGCUGCCUUCCUUA
rnacentral:snRNA from 1 species